rnacentral:lncRNA from 1 species
AAAAAAAACAGAACCAAAUCAAUCACCUUUCAAAAUGUUUUUUUUCUUUUCUUUCGUAUUUCUUCAAUAUUUCAAUACAAUAUUUUUCUCCCCCUUUUACAGAUUUCUAUUUGGCUUUAAUAGCCGAAAUAAGGGAGCCAAAACUCUCAAAAACUGUUCUCCUUUUUUUUUACAUUUUUCCUUGUAUUUUUCUACUAUUGUUCGUGGCCGUGGUUUGUUGUUUUCUGCAGGAAGAACGUGCUGGAGCGCGGGACAACGUGUGCGAUGUGCAAGGGCGACGUGGGGCAGAAGCGGUUGCUGUGACGCCAAGGCUAGGAAGAAGGCUGCUGCUGAAAACUCUAGGGUUUCCAAAUUUUUCAGUUUUGGGCUGAUUUGGAUUGUAGGGUAAUCCGGCUGGUGAAAUCGGGCCACAUCCAUGUAAAAAUGGACUAUUUAAUUUUUUAUUUGGGCUUCAUUUUUGGUCUAUAAUAUGGACAUUAUUUGAAUUUGUUCUGUUUUCUACUUAUGCGGGCCCGAGCCCAAAAUUGGGUAUUACAGCUGCCCCUCUUUGCUCGUUGUGUGUAACGAGAACAGAGUAAAGACUAAAAAACCCAAUUGUGCCCGGUCACGCUAGCCCUUAGUGCUUUUCUUCUUCGAGUAGCCUCAUUCCAUCCUACUGCAUCCUCAAAGGUGUAGGAACUAGUGCUUCGAUCCACUCCACUGCAACGUUAGAGAGAUAGGAAUUGUAUCUUGUAGCUUCUCAGAAGAAUAAAAUUUGCUAUCUUUAGUCUACUCCACUGCAACUUUAGGGAGAUAAGACUAAAUGCGAUCUGCUCUCUGCAACAUCAGAAAGAUAAGAUUUGUAUGUUUUAAUCCACUCCACUACAACCUCAGGGAGAUAGGAUUUGGGUCUUCAGUCUGCUCCACUGCAACUUCAGGAAGAUAAGAGUUGAUGCGAUCUGCUCUCUGUAACCUCAGAAAAAUAAGACCUGGAUGUUAAUCCGCUCUACUGUAACUUUAGGGAAAUAGUAUUAUUUACUUCAAUUUGUUUAACUGCAAUGUCGGGGAAACAAGAUUCGCUGUCGCGACUUCAAUCUAUUCCACUACACCGCCAGGGAAGUAAGAUCCACCGUUGUGGCUACAAUAUUUUUAAUUACAAUGUCGGGGAAACCAGAUCCACCGUCGUAGUUUCAAUCUGUUCCACUGCACUGCCAGAAAAGUAAGAUCUGCUGUUGUGGCUUCAAUCUUUUUAAUUGCAAUGUCGGGGAAAUUAGAUUCACCAUCGUAGCUUCAAUCUAUUCCAUUGCACCGCUAAGGAAGUAAGACUCACCGUUGUGGCUUCAAUCUUUUUAAUUGCAAUGCCUGGGAAACAAGAUCUGCUGUCAUAGCUUCAAUAUGUUCCACUGCACCGCUAAGGAAGUAAGACUCACCGUUGUGGCUUCAAUCUAUUUAACUGCAAUAUCUGGGAAACAAGAUCCACCGUCGUAGCUUCAACCUGUUCCACUACAUCGCCAGGGAAGCAAGAUUCGCCGUAGUGGCUUCAAUUUGUUCCACUGUAAUGCCAAAGAGACAGGAUUCGUUGCCCACAGCUUUAAUCCACUCCACUUCAGCUAAUCCAAGUCUUAACGCCAGGGAGAUAAGAUUCACCGUCGUGGCUUCAAUCUGCUCCGCUACAACGCUAGGGAAGUAAGAUUCGCCAUUGUGGCUUCAAUCUAUUCCACUGCAAUGUCAAGGCAAUAAGACUAGUGUCUUCGAUCUGCUUCGCUGCCAGUACAGGAAGGCAAGAUCUCUCAUUUUCAACCUACUCCACUGCUGCUCAUGGAGAUAAGGCUGGUAUCUUAGAUCUACUUUACUGCCAAUACAGGAAGACAAGAUCUGCUAUUUUCAACCUACUCCACUGCUGUUCAGGGAGAUAAGGGUUUAUGGUUUCACCGGUUUGUUCUUUGGGUAACAUGGCCUGUAUAAUUCAAUCUAUGAACCUAAUUAUGCCUAGUGAUUAGGAUGUCAUAAUCAAAAUGAAUCAAAUGCUCCUAACUAGACGUGUAUGAAUGACAUUUGAAUGAAUGUAGAAUAUUAUUUUUUCGAGAAUGAUCUUUCUUUAUCGCUUAAGUCGUCAUUACUCAAGGUAUUAAGAUUUUAUCACUGAUAUGCUACAACGCCUUCUUGCUCGGCUGGCAUCUCCGAAGAAACACUUAAUCAAACAGCCCCCACUGUAACUUCAAAGUUCAAUCUACUGGGAUGCAAAAUUUGUACCAUCUUUCUCUCGCUGUAACCCAAGGGUAGAAAAAUCUGGUGUUUUCUCAAUCCUCUCCUAUCACAGUUCAAGGAUACAAAAUGUGAAGCUCUUUGGUCCUUUACACCAUUCCCAGGGUGUCAUACCAAAUGCCUAUGCACAAAUAAAGGCUUUCUUCUCCGAGGAAACCUCUUCCUAUUGCUUGGUGAUCAUUGUUUGCUUGUUCAUUUGAAGCCUUAUCACUGACACGGCAUCUUGUCAUUUUGUUCAAUAAAUUUUUUGGCAACAAAAUCUGAAGGGAUAGUCUUAAUUUAGACUUUUCCUUCCUAGAUAUUUUAACCUUUAAACUUGGUGCGUUCUAAACAAUAAUCCUAUUUCAGGUUCCCGUAUUAUUUAGAAACCUCUAAAGUAAUAUGUAAAACUUCCCUUGUGAAAGUUUUAUUAGUCCAUUAAUCGUUAUUCUAAUGCAACAUGCUUGCAAAAAGAACCAAACGAUGGAUAAAAUAGAAUUGAUUUGAGAGUAUAGCUCGAAAUGAAUAAAUUAUGAAGAAUAUUGAGAAUAAAAGAGGAAUUGACUUGUAUCUUGAAAAAGAAUGAAGUAUUCCAAGAAUAAGCAAGUAUAAAUAGUAUAAAGACUAGGUGCCCCAGAAAUCGCAGCUUGAACUUCUCUGUACAAACUUGCUGAAGACCAUUCUGAGUUUGACAUGUGUUUAGCAGAUCUACAGUACUCUGUCGAUGCCCCAAGAUGUCGCAUACCCUUUCCUGCUGAUUCAAGUAUAUCAAGACCACCACAUGCCUCAUUCUGAUCAAAAUCUGAGCCACUCUGAUCACUUUCUGCCCUAUUCUGAUCAAAAUUUGAGCCGCCCUUUUCGGGUUUUCAACUCAAAUCCCCUUUGGUCUAAGGCGCCCUUUACGGGUUUUCACGCUAGCCUCUCAAUUUUUACUUUUUCCAUUUUUCAUUUUUCAUUUUCAUUUUUUCAUUUUUUUUCAUUUCAUCAUUUUUUUUACGACUCAAAGUGCUCUUUACGGGUUUUUACCUUGGUCUUCUCUUUCUUUAAGCGAAGUAUUUCUUGACUGAAUCUGUGUUUACAGGAUUAGAUAAGUUUUUUACUAUCCACUCACUCAAGAUUAGUAUUCCUCUAGAAAAGGUCUUCUUUACAACAUAAGGACCUUCCGAAUUUGACACUCAUUUUUCUCUAUAAUCUUUCUGUAGAGGAAGGAUCAUUUUCAAUACCAGGUCUCCCUCGUGGAAUUCUCUGGGACGAACCUUUUUGUUGUAAGCUCGCAUCAUCCGUUUUUGGUACAGCUGACCGUGACGAAUAGCUUUUAGCCAUUUUCCUUCAAUUAGGUUUAACUAAUUAUAUCGAGAUUGGAUCUUCAUCCUAUUUCAGCUCAGCCAAUACCCGGAGAGAAAGAAUUUCAACUUCAAUGGAAAAAACCGUGAUAAGCUAAAGAGAAAGACAUUGCGUUGGUAGAGGUUUUUGUUUCUUUUUGUUUUUUGUUUUUUCUUUUUGUUUUUGUUUUUGUUUUCUUUUCUUUCCCUCUUUGUUUUUUGGAUUUAAUCUGCACUCAUAGGAUUAGGCAAGUCCUGGUCAUCCCUUUCGAUCAUAAUCAAUGUUAUUCCAGAUAAGGUCUUCCACAUAAAAUCUUUCACUUUUAUUUUGUAUGCGAAAGAUCUUUUUUAGUAUCAGGUUUCUCUCAUAGAGCCUUUUGGGGUGAAAUUUAACUAUGACAAAAAACUUUGGAUCUUUCUCUUCAAUUAGGAUGAAAUCUAAAAAAUACGGAGAAAUGACAACUUGACUUCAACGGGCAAAACUAUGAUGAGCCAAAGAAGAAGGCAUUGCCCCGACAAAGAAUUCUAACUGCAUCGUUCAUGAUGUUAGUCCUGAACAUACUGUAAAUUUUUGACGUCAUGCUGUUGCUCAGAUUACAAUAUCAGUGCUUAACCCGGGCAUGUCCUGGUAUGACCAUGCGAAGAUAUCUUUGAACCCUUAAAGUAACUCAACAAGGUCUUACUUUGUUUUUCCGGUUAUGCACGUUCUUUUAAGGUCACAAUCUCUAUUGUCUCCUCAGGAGGUAAAAAUUGUUUCCCUUCCUGUUCUACCAUCCUCAACAAGUCUGGAGAUAGGCCACGAUCUAUCUCAUCUUCAAAGUCAUGAGAUCCCUCUAAACACAUGUCUCACUCAAAAGGAGAUUCUAAAUCUGUAGCAGUGUCACUCAUGACAUUGAUAUUUGGGGACCUAUAGUAGGUACCAAAGAAUAUACAAAAGAAUGUAUGAAUUUAUGAAUAGUUAUUUGUACAGUAUGAUUAUGAAUGAAUGAAUGAUUUGGAAGAAAAUCCAAAAGAAUGAAAGAAUCCAGAAUUAUUCGUAAAGAAUGAAAAUAUUGGCUCAAAAUAAUCACAAAAAUGUAUUUCAUUAAAAUAAUAACGUUCAGACAUGAGCCUAUUUCACAAAGGUGUUUUUAUCACUUCUAGGCUAAAAAGCAAUAAGAGUGUUCUGAACGUUACUUUGAGUAAGCUCUAAAAACUACAGGAAUUUCCUCCGUAGUCCAAUUAUUUAGAACAUCUCCAAGUUGAUAAGGGCGAAUAUCUACAAGGACCCUUUUAAACUUCGUCUUCAUAUAUGGCAUUAAUGUGAACACUUCCCAACACUUAUUCAUACAUUGCAUUCACUCUAUUAUCAAUCAUGGUUGGGUAGCGAAUUUUCUGUACUGGACGAAUCAUCAAAUUGGACAACGCCUAUAUUAAUGAGUCUUUCAACUAUCUUUUUGAAUGCAAUGUAAUUUUCUAUCAAAUGCCCCGCAAUUUCUGCAUGGUAUUCACAUUGAGCAUUUGUAUUUAUACCAUUUAGGAAAUGGGGGCAACAUUGGCUUCAAAUAGAAGGGGGACACCACAUGUGCAUUAAAUAGACUUUGAUAUAGUUCGCUAUAUGACAUCGGUAUAGGCGUGAGCUGAGGCCCUUCUGUAUUUAUCUUCGUGUAAGAUCCUCGCUUUAAAGGGCUCUGAUGGCUAGUAGUAACCGUCUUUGGCUGGCUUGUGGCAAUCGACUUUGAAUAACCCUUGUAUAUCCACUCGCAUUAUUCACCUCAUUUUUCCUUUUCCUUGGGACGUUUAAAGUAUUAUUUGAGAGUUCCACUCUUGCCCUUUCUGCUUGUAACGAUCUUUAAAUUGUUUUGGGAACUCUACCCUCGCCUGUUCUGUUUCUGCUAGAUCAUAAAGGACAACAUGAUUAGUUAAAUUGCCCCUCGAGUUGGAACCUGAGCCAAUCUAAAAAUUCACUGGUGUCGAGGUGCUAGUCUGAUAUUGGGGUCGGAUGUUAACCAUUACCCUUUGUGGAUAUGCAUUUGGUUGUGCUUGUGUAUUUUUUGGGGUGAAGCUUGGAGGAUAUGUAGGGUCCUCAUUAUCAUCUCCAAUGUGAACCAUUGGGCUCUUUCCUCUUUCUAACCCUCUAGCCAAUAACUGGGUUAACUGGCACAUCAUAUUUCUUUGGAAUUCUAACAACUGAUCCCUUAUAUCUUGUUGAAAUUUGGUCAAUUGCUCCUGCAUCUGUAUUUGCAUUUACUCUAAUUUCUCCAACCUUUGGUCCAUUUCUCUAGUCUUUGCUUAGGUGCAGUAAAGGUAUUAGUUUUCCAAAUUAACUGAAACAAUUUUACUCAAUUAGGCUAUUUUAAUGGAUUUUAAUGCAUAUGAUGUCAUGUAAUGCAAAUGCAUGAAAUGAAUACAUAAAAAGACGUUGAUUCUGAUUCAAUUGCCUUUAGAAAACUUUACUAGAAGAUAAAUUUCUUUACAUAAAACGGAUACAUAUACGGUUUCGCCUUCGAUCAUCCGGAUAUUAAAAUGCAUCUUGCGAAUUUUUCAAUAGACAUCUACUAGCUUCUUUUGCUUGAUCCAGGUCGCAACUCCUUGCUCAUUCAUGCUCAUGAGCUUCUUUAAAAAGGUUGGGAUGUUUGACAACUCUUGAAUAAUCUUUGCUAACUUGAAUCUUCAGGCAACGUAGCAAGGUCGUAUACUCCUCUUGUUACACUUCUCGUAUCAUGUUUUCUUGGACUAUAUUCGGACAACCGUAUUGACUUCCACUUUAUCAAGAAAUCCGUUUUCCAUGACAAGCUCUCUAUUUAGCAAACAAACGUGAAUCAACACAUCUUUUCUAUGAUGAAAUGCCAUGCAGUCAAAAUGUCAUGUAGCCAAAAACAAAACAUAACAAGUUAGUAUCAGGUAUAAACGUUGAAUCCAAUACAAUCAAGAAAUAAUAAAACACUUAUUAGGGUAUCUACUAGGGUUCAGUGUAGUUCUACCUAGGGUGAGUUCCUAAGGUUCACUAUAUGAGGUUUGGCUUCUAGAGCAAAGGUACCCGAACCAGCAGAUUUCUCGAUCCUCACCCAUUAUAGGCUCAUAUGGACCGAGUUCAGUUCAGGGGAAUACAUUUCUCUAUGGCUGUACGGAGAUGAAAAUCUCACGAAGACAUAGGUACGGAUGUAUCCCAAAAGCGGUCCACUAUCCUGCACGGAGGUGAAAACCUCACGAAGGACUAGUUUAUCGCUUCCACUUAGAGGGGUAAAAUUGACCAACCUAUGCAAUGCAAAAUACAAAUACACAUUAACAUAUUUGGACCAACCAAACAAACAUAUUAUGAUCAAAAUCAUGAAAAUAAUGCAUAAGGGGGAAUCGUGAUUUUAAAACAAAUUUUGAUUGCUCGACCGAAAGACAAAAAUUAAUCAAUUUACGGCUCGACUCUCUAACCAGUCCCCAGCGGAGUCGCCAAGUUGUCGAAACCAAUUUUUUGAAAACAAAGAUUUAGUUGUCGACUUUAAAAAAUAAAAAUUAGAGUCGCCACCGAUCCUUGAUGGAGGUGUGAUCGGCUCACCUUAAAAACGGGUUUGGUCUACGAAACUUGAAAAAAUGGGUUCGGGAGCCAGUUACGCACGAGGAAGGGGUUAGCACCCUCGUAACGCCCAAAACCGGUACCAAUUUGAUCGUUUAAUGUCUUGGUGUCGAAAAUUUGAAAAGAUUUUAAAAGAAAACUUUUUUAUCCUGAAUGAAUUUAAAAAAUGAGACGUUCUUAUUUCAAAGAAUUUAAACGUCACACCCAGUAAGUUAGGGCGCAACAUUUUUAAUCUUCAAAAUUAAGUUUGUCUUUUGAUUUUUAAAACUCGUGCAUUUAAACCUAAGAAGGAUAUUCGGUUAUUUAGGUAAAAUGAAGAGAAUCGAAACCCAGUAAGUUAGCGUACAAUUUCUCAAAAUUCCAAAUACCAAACAUUGCCUUUAUAUAUUUACCUUUUUUAAAAAUUCUUAUUUCGAGAUGACAAAAUGUCAUGUCCAGUGAGUUAGGACCCAACAUUUUUGAAUUCCCGAGAAUAAGCUUUUAUUUGAAUCCGUGUGAUUUUAUUGCAAAAUAAAUACUUGGCUCUCUAAAUUCAUCGAAAAAACAAUCGAAAUCCAGUAAGUUAGGACAUGAUCUUUCUCGAGAAUCAUGAAUGCCAAAUAUCUUGAAAACUUACAAAAUAAGAUGAUUUUAAUGCUUUAAUAAAAACCAACAUUGUUUCCUUUAAAAGUAUGAUAAAAUGUUUAAUGUACAACAUGAAACCAAACUUUAAUUUAAAUUAUACAUGUAUAUGUACUAUAAAAUGUCAAUGCAUAUAUAUACACAUGUAUACAAAAAUUAUAAAAAUAAAAUAAAAUAAUAUAUAUAAAACAUAUACAUGUAUUUACAAAAAAAAUAAAAAAUUGUAUAAGUAUAAUAUAGUAGUAACUUAUGAAAAUAUGAAUAUAUAUGUAUAUAUAAAAAAAUGCGAAAAAUAUAUUUAAAAUAAUUUUGAAUAGUGUAUAAAUAUAUAUUAUAAAAAAUAUAUAUGGAUUAUAUGGUAUGGAAAAUGUAUAAAUAUUAUAAAAUAUAAAUGUAUAUACGUGUAUAUAUAUAAAGACUAAGAAAAUAAAAUAAUAGUAAAAUAUAUAAAAUAUGUAUAUGUAUUUAUUUAAAAAAACAUUUAAAAUAUAUACAUAUAUAUAUUAUAAGAUAUAUAUGCGUGUACAUACCUAUAGGCAUAAUAAUAAAAUAAUAUAAUAAUAAUUAAUAUAACAAAAUUAAUAAUAUAAAAAAAACUGAAAAAAAAACUAAAACAACAGAUUAGGGAUUAAAUUGAAAGUAAACAAAAACUCAGAGGCAGAUUUAAAAUAAAUAAAAUGCAAAUGGGCCAAAUAGAACAUGCGUUUAACAGUGGAGGACCAAAAGGGAAAUUAAUCCCUUCCUCCAAAACGCUGCGCAACAACCUGGAUUAAAUUGAAACAGUAAUAGAAUAUGCAGCAAAAUUUAAAAGAAAUAAAAAAAUUAAUUUAGACACAUUAUAAAACAAGGGGACUAAUCGCGUAAAUAAACCAGAGCAGUAAAAAACGCAGGUCUGGUCGGGUUCUGGGUCGGGUCACAUGGGAUAUUGGGUUACACUAAUACGGUGCCGUUUUUCAAACCAAAUAAAUCUCAUUCAAACCCUAAUCAAAACCCUAUUGCCCUUUUCAGCAACGGCAACCGCAAGGACUGCUUUCUCCCCCUCUCUGCUCCUCACCGAAACCUCCUCCCUUUUCAACUCCGAUUCAGACGAAACGCAACAAGGGCAUCGACGACGCGCCACUACUAGUAAGAACCUCUCCUCUUCCACAUCGUUUAUUUAUUUUAAGAAACAAGUAAAAGAAAACAAAAAAACAGAACCAAAUAAAAAAAACAACAAGGGUGACGUGGGGCGGAAGCGGUUGCUGCGGUGCCAAGGCUAGGAAGAAGGCUGCUGUUGAAGACUCUAGGUUUCCAAAUUUUUCAGUUUCGGGCUGAUUUGGAUUGUAGGGUAAUCGGGCUACAUCCAUGUAAAAAUGGACUAUUUACUAUUUUAUUUGGGCUUAUUUUUGGUUUGUAAUAUGGAUAUUAUUUGAAUUUGUUCUGUUUUCUGCUUAUGCGGGCCCGGGCCCAAAAUUGAGUAUUAUAGUGUUGAUUGAGCUAUAGCCCGUUCGAUAUUAAUAUUGUUGUUAAUGUAAGAAAAUAUAAGUUUGAGUGUUCUAAAGUGUAUUAUACUUUAGAAAAAGUUAUAAAUAAUUCUAAAUUUAAUAUGAAAGAGCAAAAAUUAUAACAAACAAAAAAAUAGUUGUGGGUGUUAGUGAAUGAAUAAAGGUAGGUGAUGGGAAUUGAAAGAGGUGUCGAGAGAGAGUGAAGAAUGAAAGUCAGUAAAUGGACGGUGGGUUCAAUUAAUACCCCUCUCCCUGUUUUUG